GACAUGCAUGAUAGAGGGCAAAGAUCAUGACUGGCUUCAGUAUGGAACAAUCUCCUGAUCUUUUUGCCAGUAAGGGUGAGAAUGUGACUCUUCAGUGUUCUCAGUUAAACACCAACUAUAAUGGCAUGUACUGGUUCAGACAGAGACCUUCUGAAUCUCUGGAGCUCAUUGUAUACUACUAUGCUAACAUGGGGACACUAGAAGAUAAAUUUAAGCAGAAAGUUUCUGCCAAAAAGCACAGCCACUCUCUGGAUCUAACUAUAAAGGAGGUGCAGAGCACAGACAGUGCUGUCUACUUCUGUGCAAAACAAGAUGCACAGCAUGACAGCCUAAUCUUUAACCUGAACAAGAACUGCCCCAGCCCCACAACAAACACAUCUUCAACACCUGUUAACUGUAGCACACAAACCAAGUCUUAUGGCAAGUCAUCAAGUUGA